rnacentral:rRNA from 1 species
GCCCUUAGAGUUUGAUCCUGGCUCAGGAUGAACGCUGGCGGUAUGCUUUACACAUGCAAGUCGUACGAGAGUUUUUAACUCAAGUGGCGGACGGGUGAGUAACACGUAAGAAUUUGCCUUUAGGAGGGGGAUAACAACUGGAAACGGUUGCUAAUACCCCAUAUGCUUUCGAGUAAAAUGGAUUUUCCGCCUAAAGAGAAGCUUGCGGCUGAUUAGCUUGUUGGUGAGGUAAUGGCUCACCAAGGCGACGAUCAGUAUCUGGUUUGAGAGGACGAUCAGACACACUGGAACUGAGACACGGUCCAGACUCCUACGGGAGGCAGCAGUGGGGAAUUUUCCGCAAUGGGCGAAACCCUGACGGAGCAAUACCGCGUGAGGGAUGACGGCCUAUGGGUUGUAAACCUCUUUUUUCAGGGAAGGAAUCAAUGACGUGUACCUGAAGAAUAAGCAUCGGGCUAACUCCGUGCCAGCAGCCGCGGUAAGACGGAGGAUGCAAGUGUUAUCCGGAAUCACUGGGGCGUAAAGCGUCUGUAGGUGGUCAAAUAAGUCAACUGUUAAAUCUUGAGGCUCAACCUCAAAAUCGCAGUCGAAACUAUUCGACUAGAGUAUAGUAGGGGUAAAGGGAAUUUCCAGUGGAGCGGUGAAAUGCGUAGAGAUUGGAAAGGAACACCGAUGGCGAAGGCACUUUACUGGGCUAUUACUAACACUGAGAGACGAAAGCUAGGGUAGCAAAUGGGAUUAGAUACCCCAGUAGUCCUAGCCGUAAACAAUGGAUACUAGAUGUUGAACAGAUCGACCUGUGCAGUAUCAAAGCUAACGCGUUAAGUAUCCCGCCUGGGAAGUAUGCUCGCAAGAGUGAAACUCAAAUGAAUUGACGGGGAAGGGC